CGGCGGACGGGUGAGUAACACGUAGGCAACCUACCCUUGAGAUUGGGAUAACUACCGGAAACGGUAGCUAAUACCGGAUACGAUUGUUCUACAUAAGUAGAACUAUUAAAAGGCGGAUUUAUCUGCCACUCAUGGAUGGGCCUGCGGUGCAUUAGCUAGUUGGUGAGAUAGUAGCUCACCAAGGCCACGAUGCAUAGCCGACCUGAGAGGGUGAUCGGCCACCCUGGGACUGAGACACGGCCCAGACUCCUACGGGAGGCAGCAGUAGGGAAUCUUCCGCAAUGGACGAAAGUCUGACGGAGCAACGCCGCGUGAGUGAUGAAGGGUUUCGGCUCGUAAAACUCUGUUGUUAAGGAAGAACACUUGAGGUAGUAACUGGCCUUGAGAUGACGGUACUUAACCAGAAAGCCACGGCUAACUACGUGCCAGCAGCCGCGGUAAUACGUAGGUGGCAAGCGUUAUCCGGAAUUAUUGGGCGUAAA
rnacentral:rRNA from 1 species